rnacentral:rRNA from 1 species
GAUGAACGCUGGCGGCGUGCCUAAUACAUGCAAGUCGAGCGAAGCGGUGACGGGUGAGUCACACGUGGAUAACCUCCUAUAAGACUGGGUUAACUUCGGGAAACCGGAGCUCACACGGAUACUCAUAUUUGGCUCCGCGCUGCAUUAGCUAGUGGGUAUGGUAACGGCUGAUCAAGGCAACGAUGCAUAGCCGACCUGAGAGGGUGAUCGGCGACACUGGAACGGAGACACGGUCCAGACUCCUACGGGAGACAGCAGUAGGGAAUCUUCCGCAAUGGACGAAAGCCUGACGGAGCAACGCCGCGUGAGUGAAGAAGGUCUUCGGAUCUUAAAACUCUGUUAUUAGGGAAGCGGUACCUAAUCAGAAAGCCACGGCUAACUACGUGCCAGCCGCCGCGGUAAUAC